GGCCCGUUGGUCAAGCGGUUAAGACACCGCCCUUUCACGGCGGUAACACGGGUUCGAAUCCCGGACGGGUCACCA
rnacentral:tRNA from 1 species